CACAAUUUUACGCUCUUAAGGUCUCAUUGUUUGACUACACACCUUAUCAAGAGAUGUUAUUGCAUGAAAAAGCAGGAGAGCAAGCCGCCGGAGAGCACCAGCAGCAGCCUACCGUAUUCAUGAAGAGGGUCUUCGGAACCGGAUCAGUGUUGUGCUGCUGCGUCAGAUCGUUCUUCCUAUGCUUUUCACUAAAACUUUACUCAAACAUAGGCCCCCAU
ensembl:ncRNA C34H3.10 ncRNA